rnacentral:rRNA from 1 species
UACGUAGGGACCAAGCGUUGUUCGGAUUUACUGGGCGUAAAGGGCGCGUAGGCGGCGUGGUAAGUCACUUGUGAAAUCUCUGAGCUUAACUCAGAACGGCCAAGUGAUACUGCUGUGCUAGAGUGCAGAAGGGGCAAUCGGAAUUCUUGGUGUAGCGGUGAAAUGCGUAGAUAUCAAGAGGAACACCUGAGGUGGAGACGGGUUGCUGGGCUGACACUGACGCUGAGGCGCGAAAGCGUGGGUAGCAAACAGG